GUGGAUUAGAUACCCGGGUAGUCCACGCCCUAAACGAUGUCAACUAGUUGUUGGUAGGGUUAAACCUAUUAGUAACGUAGCUAACGCGUGAAGUUGACCGCCUGGGGAGUACGGUCGCAAGAUUAAAACUCAAAGGAAUUGACGGGGACCCGCACAAGCGGUGGAUGAUGUGGAUUAAUUCGAUGCAACGCGAAAAACCUUACCUACCCUUGACAUGUCAGGAAUCCCUUAGAGAUAGGGGAGUGCCGCAAGGAACCUGAACACAGGUGCUGCACGGCCGUCGACAACU
rnacentral:rRNA from 1 species